rnacentral:rRNA from 1 species
UACGUAGGGGGCAAGCGUUGUCCGGAAUCAUUGGGCGUAAAGCGCGUGUAGGCGGCUCGGUAAGUCUGCUGUGAAAGUCCAGGGCUCAACCCUGGGAUGCCGGUGGAUACUGUCGAGCUCGAGUCCGGAAGAGGCGAGUGGAAUUCCUGGUGUAGCGGUGAAAUGCGCAGAUAUCAGGAAGAACACCCGUGGCGAAGGCGGCUCUCUGGGACGGUACUGACACUAAGACUCGAAAGCGUGGGGAGCAAACAGG